rnacentral:rRNA from 1 species
GACGGGGGAUGCAAGUGUUAUCCGGAAUCACUGGGCGUAAAGCGUCUGUAGGUGGUCAAAUAAGUCAACUGUUAAAUCUUGAGGCUCAACCUCAAAAUCGCAGUCGAAACUAUUCGACUAGAGUAUAGUAGGGGUAAAGGGAAUUUCCAGUGGAGCGGUGAAAUGCGUAGAGAUUGGAAAGAACACCGAUGGCGAAGGCACUUUACUGGGCUAUUACUAACACUGAGAGACGAAAGCUAGGGUAGGCAAAUGGG